UUAAAGAUUUAUCGGUAUGAGAUGGCGAUGCGUCCCAUUAGCUUGUUGGCGGGGUAACGGCCCACCAAGGCAUCGAUGGGUAGGGGUUCUGAGAGGAAGGUCCCCCACAUUGGAACUGAGACACGGUCCAAACUCCUACGGGAGGCAGCAGUGAGGAAUAUUGGUCAAUGGACGCAAGUCUGAACCAGCCAAGUAGCGUGCAGGAAGACGGCCCUCUGGGUUGUAAACUGCUUUUAGUUGGGAAUAAAGUGCAUCACGUGUGAUGUUUUGUAUGUACCAUCAGAAAAAGGACCGGCUAAUUCCGUGCCAGCAGCCGCGGUAAUACGGAAGGUUCAGGCGUUAUCCGGAUUUAUUGGGUUUAAAGGGAGCGCAGGCGGACCUUUAAGUCAGCUGUGAAAUACGGCGGCUCAACCGUCGAACUGCAGUUGAUACUGGAGGUCUUGAGUGCACACAGGGAUACUGGAAUUCAUGGUGUAGCGGUGAAAUGCUCAGAUAUCAUGAAGAACUCCGAUCGCGAAGGCAGGUAUCCGGGGUGCAACUGACGCUGAGGCUCGAAAGUGCGGGUAUCAAACAGGAUUAGAUACCCUGGUAGUCCGCACAGUAAACGAUGAAUACUCGCGAUUUGCGAUACACAGUAAGUCGCCAAGCGAAAGCGUUAAGUAUUCCACCUGGGGAGUACGCCGGCAAAGGUGAAACUCAAAGGAAUUGACG
rnacentral:rRNA from 1 species